rnacentral:lncRNA from 1 species
AUGAGGUUACGGAGGGAAAAAAAGAGGGAAAAAAACGAGAGAGAAGGUGCUAAAAACGCGCGUUCUUGCACCGCAGCAGAAAGGAGGAAUUUGGUGAACCGGCUGCAUUUCCAUCAGAGGGCAAAGCCUGGAAACGCGACGAUUUGGUCAAACACGUGGCUUAAAAGUUGUCUGGGGGCAGGACGAGGAUGCCAAACGCUGCUCUUCCCACCCGGGGAAGGUGGCGCCGGGAUAAUGGGAACACCCCGGGGCGGAUCGCGGGAGGGCGGCUUCGCCCCGCGCCGCUGCGAACCUCCGGCGACGCAGCAUGGCAGCGGCGAGAAGCCUCCGCGCCGAGGCCGACCGCUCGCAGCAUUUCCUCGCCGCCGCCUCCUGGCUCUGAAGAAACCCCGCGGGGCGAAAAUCCUCCGGGUUGAGGCUGUCGGUGGCAAUGGGCGAGCGGCUGCGGGCUCCGGCCGCGAAGCUUUUUGGGAAACACGAGGAGGAGGAGGCCGCCGGGGAGGAGAAAAUCCAAUCUCAUCUACAAUCUCUACGGAAAGUGUUGGCAGAGUUCCUGGAAUGGAGGGUGGCCGACGAGAAGCGCUGCCGGGACUACCUGGAGACGAGCGAGGCCGAGCGGCGGCGCGUUGGCGGCGAGUUCGAGCGGCUGCGCCGGCUGCUGGACGAGAAGGAGCGCGGGGUGCUGCGGCGCCUGGCCGAGCUCGACGCUGCCUUCGAGGCCGCCCAGGCGGAAAAAGCCUCGCGGCUGGCCGAGGAGAUCGCGCGGCUCCACGGCCUCAUCGGGCAGCUGGAGGCCGGGCGCCUGCCCCGGGAUACCGUGAGCAGCCUGAGCAGCUGGAACGAAGCAAGGCUGCAGCUUCCCCCCGAGCUGGAAAAGAGCCUGCGCUCCUGCCGCCGCCAGCACGCUGCCCUCGAGGAGGCUCUGAAAGAACUGCGAGACCCAGGGAGAUCCAAACCGAAGCCGGGAACGGGGAAAACCCUGAGCACGGAGGAAAAGGCAAAAGGGACUCCAGAUCCCGGCUCGGCCCCCCCGCAGGUUUUGGCAGACAGAAAAAGCGUGCGGUGGGACGAGGAGCAGGCUAAGGGCAGAGAGCCCCGGCGAUGCGAGGAGGAGGAGGAGGAGGAGGAGGCGCCGGGAGCCCUGGGCUGCGAGGGGGCCGCCCCGCGGCGGUGCUCGUGGGAGGUGGAGGAGAAGGCGCGGAUCGGCGGACCCUGAGAGGGAUCCCGCCUCUUGGGACGGCCCCCCCCGCCCCUUUCUCAGCCGUAAAUGGGGUUUUAAACCGGCAUUUUUCCGUGCAGGUGGUGGGUUUGUUUAAAAAA